CCUAAAACAUUUCAUUCUGCUCUCCCCAUCUCCAGCCGUCGCCCCUCCUCUCUCUGACAGGCAUCUCCUCUCUCCAGUCACCCCUCUCUUAUCCGUCUUCUCUUUCUCCGACUGCUAACAACCUCCUCUCCCUCUUCUCUUUCUCCGACUGCUAACAACCUCCUCUCCCUCUCUCCGUCUUCUUCUUCCCCUCUCUUCUCCCUCGCCCAUCUCCUCUUCUUCUCUUUUUCUCCAAGCAGCAGCAGCUCAGCAGGGAACCAAUAGCAAGCAGCCGGAUCAGCAAAGCAGCCCGCUCGUCCCCGCCCUUUUUCCAACGAAGCAACAACGACUCCACCGGCAACAGCUCUGGUCAGGCAAACUCCAACUGCCCAGCAACUCUGGCAAAUAAGUGACGCAUACAUCCAAAUGAAGAAUAUGGAUAAGGAUAGAUAUUUCCCAGUAUUUUUGUUUAGUAGGUUUGAACUUAAGGUUCAAGAUUUAGAAGAGUCGCCAAGAGAAGGAAAAACUAGACAUGACGAUUUUAAUUGAUUUAAGUUAUGUAUAUAAUUGUUACUUUGUGAUAAUUUGUAUAAACUCCUAAUGCUAACUCUAUAUAUAUGAAAUAUAUUUGGGGGAUCGUCUAA